rnacentral:misc_RNA from 1 species
AAAAAUUGAAAAACGAAUGGUGGCACUGGCACUUCUUUGUCGAGAUUGAGGAGAAGAGAACCUAAGGCCAAAUGGAUCACGACCCUAGGCCUAAGAGGGAAAUGAGAAUUGAAGAUAGGGUUAUAUUUGCUAAAAUAUAUGCUGCUAUGAAAAUAUAUGCUGCUAUGUGUAUUUUUGAUUGAUUGUUCCGUUGUGCGUGUACGAGAUUGGUUCCAUAUAAAAGAGAACAAUAUUCUGUUUCAAUUGAAAAUUUGAGAGGAAGGGAAAACAAAAUUA